UGGGGAAUAUUGCGCAAUGGGGGAAACCCUGACGCAGCGACGCCGCGUGAGCGACGAAGGCCUUCGGGUCGUAAAGCUCUGUCAUAAGGGACGAAGUCUCGAAAGAGGUGACGGUACCUUAAGAGGAAGCCCCGGCUAACUACGUGCCAGCAGCCGCGGUAAUACGUAGGGGGCGAGCGUUGUCCGGAAUUACUGGGCGUAAAGGGCGUGUAGGCGGUUAUUUAAGUCAGGUGUGAAAGACCGGGGCUCAACCCCGGGGAUGCACCUGAAACUGGAUAACUUGAGGGCAAGAGAGGGAAGCGGAAUUCCUAGUGUAGCGGUGAAAUGCGUAGAUAUUAGGAGGAACACCAGUGGCGAAGGCGGCUUCCUGGCUUGGCCCUGACGCUGAGGCGCGAAAGCGUGGGGAGCAAACAGG
rnacentral:rRNA from 1 species